CCUGGUUGAUCCUGCCAGUAGUCAUAUGCUUGUCUCAAAGAUUAAGCCAUGCAUGUCUAAGUACAAGCCUCAUUAAGGUGAAACCGCGAAUGGCUCAUUAAAUCACACCUAAUAUACUGGAUAGUAUACAGUUACUUGGAUAACUGCGGUAAUUCUGGAGCUAAUACAUGCGUCAUAGCCCCGAACUUACGUGAGGGGCGCUUUUAUUAGAUCAAAACCAAACGGCUUCGGUCGUCCUUCUGGUGAUUCUGAAUAACUUUGGGCUGAUUGCACGGCUUUACGCCGGCAACGUAUCUUUCUAAGGUGUGCCCUAUCAACUGUCGACUGUGGCAUAGACGCCCACAGUGGUUUUGACGGGUAACGGGGAAUCAGGGUUCGAUUCCGGAGAGGGAGCCUGAGAGACGGCUACCACUUCUAAGGAAGGCAGCAGGCACGCAAAUUACCCACUGGUCGAAGACCGAGGUAGUGACGAAAAAUAACGAUACCGGACUCAUCCGAGGCCCGGUAAUCGGAAUGAGUACACUUUAAAUCCUUUAACGAGGAACAAUUGGAGGGCAAGUCUGGUGCCAGCAGCCGCGGUAAUUCCAGCUCCAAUAGCGUAUAUUAAAGUUGUUGCGGUUAAAAAGCUCGUAGUUGGAUCUCGGCGAGCAGGGGGCGGUUCGAUAUUUGUCGCUACUGCCCCAUUUGCUCGUGUUUUUGGCAGAGGUUCCAGGGUGCUCUUAAUCGAGUGUCCUGGGAUGCUGUCAGGUUUACUUUGAAAAAAUUAGAGUGCUCAAAGCAGGCUUUACACGCUUGAAUAUUCGUGCAUGGAAUAAUAGAAUAGGACGUCGUUUCUAUUUUGUUGGUUUUCGGAAAUCGACGUAAUGAUUAACAGGGACAGUCGGGGGCAUUAGUAUUCAGACGACAGAGGUGAAAUUCUUGGACCGUCUGAAGACUAACUACUGCGAAAGCAUUUGCCAAGAAUGUUUUCAUUAAUCAAGAACGAAAGUUAGAGGUUCGAAGGCGAUCAGAUACCGCCCUAGUUCUAACCAUAAACGAUGCCAGCUAGCGAUCCGCAGAUGUUUUCAUUGUAGGCUCUGCGGGAAGCUUCCGGGAAACCAAAGCUUGUGGGUUCCGGGGGAAGUAUGGUUGCAAAGCUGAAACUUAAAGGAAUUGACGGAAGGGCACCACCAGGAGUGGAGCCUGCGGCUUAAUUUGACUCAACA
rnacentral:rRNA from 1 species